rnacentral:rRNA from 1 species
GAUGAAUGCUGGCGGCGUGCCUAACACAUGCAAGUCGAGCGGCAGCGCGAGUAGUUUACUACUUGGCGGCGAGCGGCGGACGGCUGAGUAACGCGUGGGAACGUGCCCCAAAGUGAGGAAUAACUGCCCGAAAGGGUGGCUAAUGCCGCAUAUGAUCUUCGGAUUAAAGGAUUUAUCCGCUUUGGGAGCGGCCCGCGUCGGAUUAGGUUGUUGGUGAGGUAAUGGCUCACCAAGCCGACGAUCCGUAGCUGGUCUGAGAGGAUGAUCAGCCAGACUGGGACUGAGACACGGCCCAGACUCCUACGGGAGGCAGCAGUGGGGAAUCUUGCGCAAUGGGCGAAAGCCUGACGCAGCCAUGCCGCGUGAAUGAUGAAGGUCUUAGGAUUGUAAAAUUCUUUCACCGGGGACGAUAAUGACGGUACCCGGAGAAGAAGCCCCAGCUAACUUCGUGCCAGCCGCCGCUGUAACAC